CACCAUAUUUAUUUAAUAGGGGA
rnacentral:siRNA from 1 species